rnacentral:rRNA from 1 species
CCUACGGGAGGCAGCAGUGGGGAAUUUUGGACAAUGGGGGCAACCCUGAUCCAGCCAUGCCGCGUGCGGGAAGAAGGCCUUCGGGUUGUAAACCGCUUUUAGCUGGGAAGAAAAGGCACGGGCCAAUACCCCGUGUUCUUGACGGUACCGGCGGAAUAAGCACCGGCUAACUACGUGCCAGCAGCCGCGGUAAUACGUAGGGUGCGAGCGUUAAUCGGAAUUACUGGGCGUAAAGCGUGCGCAGGCGGUUCGUUAUGUCUGUGGUGAAAGCCCCGGGCUCAACCUGGGAAUGGCCAUGGAAACUGGCGGGCUGGAGUGUGGCAGAGGGGGGUGGAACUCCUGGUGUAGCAGUGAAAUGCGUAGAUAUCAGGAAGAACACCGAUGGCGAAGGCAGCCCCCUGGGCCAACACUGACGCUCAGGCACGAAAGCGUGGGGAGCAAACAGGAUUAGAUACCCUGGUAGUCCACGCCCUAAACGAUGUCAACUGGGUGUUGGGGGAGCGAUCCCUUGGUACCGUAGCUAACGCGUGAAGUUGACCGCCUGGGGAGUACGGCCGCAAGGUUAAAACUCAAAGGAAUUGACGG